GGAAUCUCUAAGAACUAUUCCAUUGUUCACAGCCAUGUGAGACGGAGUCAGAGGUCAGAGGUCAGCCACAGUGGCAUGAGGAUGAGGGCUACGGACACAAGGGCGAAGGGACGAAGCUAAAGCCGUGUUUUUUUGACAAGGACGACUCCAAAGCUUUCCUACAAAUGUGCUCCACCAGAUGUCAGAACACCAGCGCAGUCAAGAACACGUCUGAUUGGAGCGACUGCGGCUCUAUUAGCUCCUGACUGAUGAUCCGGUGGGGCUGUUGCUGCUUUUAUUGGCUCCUACAUCACAGCUAGC
ensembl:lncRNA